UGUGCCUUCGGGAACCGUGAGACAGGUGCUGCAUGGCUGUCGUCAGCUCGUGUUGUGAAAUGUUGGGUUAAGUCCCGCAACGAGCGCAACCCUUAUCCUUUGUUGCCAGCGGUCCGGCCGGGAACUCAAAGGAGACUGCCAGUGAUAAACUGGAGGAAGGUGGGGAUGACGUCAAGUCAUCAUGGCCCUUACGACCAGGGCUACACACGUGCUACAAUGGCGCAUACAAAGAGAAGCGACCUCGCGAGAGCAAGCGGACCUCAUAAAGUGCGUCGUAGUCCGGAUUGGAGUCUGCAACUCGACUCCAUGAAGUCGGAAUCGCUAGUAAUCGUGGAUCAGAAUGCCACGGUGAAUACGUUCCCGGGCCUUGUACACACCGCCCGUCACACCAUGGGAGUGGGUUGCAAAAGAAGUAGGUAGCUUAACCUUCGGGAGGGCGCUUACCACUUUGUGAUUCAUGACUGGGGUGAAGUCGUAACAAGGUAACCGUAGGGGAACCUGCGGUUGGA
rnacentral:rRNA from 1 species